rnacentral:snoRNA from 1 species
AAGCGAUGAAGAUAUCUGCGCACUUGUGGUGAUUGGGUCGCCACGGUUUGUCCGACCUUAACUGGAUGAAUAGCAGCGCCUCUGAGUUU